rnacentral:misc_RNA from 1 species
AAAGCAGAUGGCUCAAUUGAGAGAAACAAAGUUAGACUGGUAACAAAGGGAUUCACACAGACAUAUGGAGUAGAUUAUUAGGAGACAUUUGCCCUUAUUGCAAAUAUAAACACCAUCAGGAUUUUAUUGUCUUGUACAGCAAAUUUUGAUAGGAAUUAUAGCAGUUCAAUAUCAAAAAUGAUUUUUUGCAUGGAGACUGAGAGGAAGAAGUAUAUAUGGAAAUACUUCCAGGAUUUGCAGAUGAAAAAACCAAAGGGAAGGUUUGCAAAUUGAAAAAGGUUUUGUAUGGCCUAAAGCAAUCUCCUAGGACAUCGUUUGACAUAUUCAACAAGGAUAUGGUCUCUUUUGACUUCUGUCAGAGUAAUGCUGAUCACACUUCAUUUAUAAAACAUUGUAGAGGUAA